rnacentral:rRNA from 1 species
CAGUCGCCGCGGUAAAACGUAGGUGGCAAGCGUUGUCCGGAAUUAUUGGGCGUAAAGGGCUCGCAGGCGGUUUCUUAAGUCUGAUGUGAAAGCCCCCGGCUCAACCGGGGAGGGUCAUUGGAAACUGGGAAACUUGAGUGCAGAAGAGGAGAGUGGAAUUCCACGUGUAGCGGUGAAAUGCGUAGAGAUGUGGAGGAACACCAGUGGCGAAGGCGACUCUCUGGUCUGUAACUGACGCUGAGGAGCGAAAGCGUGGGGAGCGAACAGGAUUAGAGACCCCCGUAGUCCCUGUCUCUUAUAC